rnacentral:rRNA from 1 species
UGGAUUUCUGUUGAAGUCAGUCGGUGCACACCUCGUGUGUUAUUUGACCUGGCUUUGGCAUCCUCUGGGGGAACGUCUCUGGACUUAAUUGGACAGGGCGAGAUUCCAGACUUUUACUUUGAGGAAAUUAGAGUGUUCACGGCAGGCAAGUGCUUUGAAUACAUUAGCAUGGAAUAAUAAUAUAGGACCUUCGUUCUAUUUUGUUGGUUUCUAGAACUUAGGUAAUGAUUAAUAGGGACAAUUGGGGGCAUUCGUAUUAACGCGUCAGAGGUGGAAUUCUUGGAUUGCGUUACGACGAACUACUGCGAAAGCAUUUGCCAAAGAUGUUUUCAUUGAUCAAGAACGAAAGUAUGGGGAUCGAA